AUUGAACGCUAGCGGGAUGCCUUACACAUGCAAGUCGAACGGCAGCACGGACUUCGGUCUGGUGGCGAGUGGCGAACGGGUGAGUAAUGUAUCGGAACGUGCCCAGUAGCGGGGGAUAACUACGCGAAAGCGUAGCUAAUACCGCAUACGCCCUACGGGGGAAAGCAGGGGAUCGCAAGACCUUGCACUAUUGGAGCGGCCGAUAUCGGAUUAGCUAGUUGGUGGGGUAACGGCUCACCAAGGCGACGAUCCGUAGCUGGUUUGAGAGGACGACCAGCCACACUGGGACUGAGACACGGCCCAGACUCCUACGGGAGGCAGCAGUGGGGAAUUUUGGACAAUGGGGGAAACCCUGAUCCAGCCAUCCCGCGUGUGCGAUGAAGGCCUUCGGGUUGUAAAGCACUUUUGGCAGGAAAGAAACGUCAUGGGUUAAUACCCCGUGAAACUGACGGUACCUGCAGAAUAAGCACCGGCUAACUACGUGCCAGCAGCCGCGGUAAUACGUAGGGUGCAAGCGUUAAUCGGAAUUACUGGGCGUAAAGCGUGCGCAGGCGGUUCGGAAAGAAAGAUGUGAAAUCCCAGAGCUUAACUUUGGAACUGCAUUUUUAACUACCGGGCUAGAGUGUGUCAGAGGGAGGUGGAAUUCCGCGUGUAGCAGUGAAAUGCGUAGAUAUGCGGAGGAACACCGAUGGCGAAGGCAGCCUCCUGGGAUAACACUGACGCUCAUGCACGAAAGCGUGGGGAGCAAACA
rnacentral:rRNA from 1 species